UUCUGGAGAUAAACAAAGAAGACGCCAUAUUACACAAGGUAUUAGGUAUACGCGAUUGCGGUAUGGCGUUCUCCAUGGUCAAAUUAUACAGCUGGUACAACGAAACUUAUGCGGAAAUCGGAGACUGCCGUACAAUCUGACCACGUUUUAAAGUUUGUGUAUGACAAAGAUGCGCAGUUUAUAAGGGGAAUUGUGUAAGCCUCCAUGCGAGACCGGAGCUACAGGUUACUAUUACUCUUGGUUCUAACUACAUAGUUGAACAGAGUACCUGUGAAUGUGUAAAUGGGAUGGACAAAUGUCACCAUAAAGCCAGCAUUCUUCUCUAUGGGUACAAAAAUGUCAGCAAAACUGAUGUACGCCAGAGUUGGAUUACGCAUCCAGAGUGCGCCACCUCGUCAAACUAAGACGAUGGAAGAACUUUUUCCUGCACCUGACAGGUUUAUAAAUUACAGCAAUGCAUUGGAUACUAUCCCCCGAGCCGCCUGUGCCCACACUUGCAGUGCCUCUAGUUGAAGACCUCAUCUCUAGCCAGGAAUUUAUUUCUGCAGAGAAUCCAAUCGCUUGAGUGAAGCAAAAAUUAAUGAUAAAUGAGCAAGAAAUCCAACAGAUUGCCUGUCUUACCACUGGUCAAAAGGAAAAUUGCAUGUGGUCAUCUGUUAGGAAGAAUAGAUUAACAGCUUCAAACUUUGGUUGUGUUUUGGCAGCGAUCAAGAGAAAUAGGUAUACUGGUAGUUUACAUGCCUUU